ACUCCUACGGGAGGCAGCAGUGGGGAAUAUUGCACAAUGGGGAAACCCUGAUGCAGCCAUGCCGCGUGUGUGAAGAAGGCCUUCGGUUGUAAAGCACUUUCAGUAGGGAGGAAGGUAGUGUAGUUAACACCUGCAUUAUUUGACGUUACCUACAGAAGAAGCACCGGCUAACUCCGUGCCAGCAGCCGCGGUAAUACGGAGGGGUGCGAGCGUUAAUCGGAAUUACUGGGCGUAAAGCGCAUGCAGGCGGCCUGUUAAGUCAGAUGUGAAAGCCCGGGGGCUUAACCUCGGAAUUGCAUUUGAAACUGGCAGGCUAGAGUCUUGUAGAGGGGGUAGAAUUUCAGGUGUAGCGGUGAAAUGCGUAGAGAUCUGAAGGAAUACCGGUGGCGAAGGCGGCCCCCUGGACAGAUACUGACACUCAGAUGCGAAAGCGUGGGGAGCAAACAGGAUUAGAUACCCUGUAGCACAGAG
rnacentral:rRNA from 1 species